GACGGAGGAUGCAAGUGUUAUCCGGAAUCACUGGGCGUAAAGCGUCUGUAGGUGGUUUAAUAAGUCAACUGUUAAAUCUUGAGGCUCAACCUCAAAAUCGCAGUCGAAACUAUUAGGCUAGAGUAUAGUAGGGGUAAAGGGAAUUUCCAGUGGAGCGGUGAAAUGCGUAGGAGAUUGGAAAGAACACCGAUGGCGAAGGCACUUUACUGGGCUAUUACUAACACUCAGAGACGAAAGCUAGGGUAGCAAAUGGG
rnacentral:rRNA from 1 species